CUAAUACCGGAUACGACCUCUGAGGGCAUCCCCCGGAGGUGGAAAGGAUUCUGGCUAGGGAUGGGCCCGCGGCCUAUCAGCUUGUUGGUGGGGUAACGGCCUACCAAGGCGACGACGGGUAGCCGGCCUGAGAGGGCGACCGGCCACACUGGGACUGAGACACGGCCCAGACUCCUACGGGAGGCAGCAGUGGGGAAUAUUGCACAAUGGGCGAAAGCCUGAUGCAGCGACGCCGCGUGAGGGAUGACGGCCUUCGGGUUGUAAACCUCUUUCAGCACCGACGAAGCGAAAGUGACGGUACCAGCAGAAGAAGCACCGGCCAACUACGUGCCAGCAGCCGCGGUAAUACGUAGGGUGCAAGCGUUGUCCGGAAUUAUUGGGCGUAAAGAGCUCGUAGGCGGCUUGUCGCGUCGGCUGUGAAAACCUGGGGCUCAACCCCGGGCCUGCAGCCGAUACGGGCAAGCUAGAAUUCGGUAGGGGAGACUGGAAUUCCUGGUGUAGCGGUGAAAUGCGCAGAUAUCAGGAGGAACACCGGUGGCGAAGGCGGGUCUCUGGGCCGAUAUUGACGCUGAGGAGCGAAAGCGUGGGGAGCGAACA
rnacentral:rRNA from 1 species